rnacentral:rRNA from 1 species
ACGCACGCUGGCGGCGUGCUUAACACCUGCAAGUCGCACGGAAAGGCCCUGCUUGCAGGGUACUCGAGUGGCGAACGGGUGAGUAACACGUGGGUGAUCUGCCCUGCACUUCGGGAUAAGCCUGGGAAACUGGGUCUAAUACCGGAUAGGAGCCAUUUUUAGUGUGAUGGUUGGAAAGUUUUUUCGGUGUAGGAUGAGCUCGCGGCCUAUCAGCUUGUUGGUGGGGUAAUGGCCUACCAAGGCGGCGACGGGUAGCCGGCCUGAGAGGGUGGACGGCCACAGUGGGACUGAGAUACGGCCCAGACUCCGACGGGAGGCAGCAGGGGGGAAUAUUGCACAAUGGGCGCAAGCCGGAUGCAGCGACGCCGCGUGGGGGAUGACGGCCUUCGGGUUGUAAACUCCUUUCGCUAGGGACGAAGCUUUUUGUGACGGUACCUAGAGAAGAAGCACCGGCUAACUACGUG